GGAAUAUUGGUCAAUGGGCGGGAGCCUCAACCAGCCAAGUCGCGUGAGGGAUGACGGCCCUAUGGGUUGUAAACCUCUUUUGCCGGGGAGCAAAGUGCCGCACGUGUGCGGUUUGGAGAGUACCCGGAGAAAAAGCAUCGGCUAACUCCGUGCCAGCAGCCGCGGUAAUACGGAGGAUGCGAGCGUUAUUCGGAUUUAUUGGGUUUAAAGGGUGCGUAGGCGGACGCUUAAGUCAGCGGUAAAAUUGCGGGGCUCAACCUCGUCGAGCCGUUGAAACUGGGUGCCCUGAGUGGGCGAGAAGUACGCGGAAUGCGUGGUGUAGCGGUGAAAUGCAUAGAUAUCACGCAGAACCCCGAUUGCGAAGGCAGCAUACCGGCGCCCGACUGACGCUGAAGCACGAAAGCGUGGGUAUCGAA
rnacentral:rRNA from 1 species